rnacentral:rRNA from 1 species
GAGUUUGAUCUUGGCUCAGGAUGAACGCUGGCGGCGUGCUUAACACAUGCAAGUCGAACGGAGAUUAUACGCAGAGGCGAUUUCGGUCAAAUCAUGUAAAAUCUUAGUGGCGGACGGGUGAGUAACGCGUGGGUAACCUGCCUUACACUGGGGGAUAACACUUAGAAAUAGGUGCUAAUACCGCAUAAGCGCACGAAGCCGCAUGGAUUUGUGUGAAAAACUCCGGUGGUGUAAGAUGGACCCGCGUCUGAUUAGCUUGUUGGCGGGGUAACGGCCCACCAAGGCGACGAUCAGUAGCCGGCCUGAGAGGGUGGACGGCCACAUUGGGACUGAGACACGGCCCAAACUCCUACGGGAGGCAGCAGUGGGGGAUAUUGGACAAUGGGGGGAACCCUGAUCCAGCGACGCCGCGUGAGUGAAGAAGUAUUUCGGUAUGUAAAGCUCUGUCAGCAGGGAAGAAAGAAUGACGGUACCUGACCAAGAAGCCCGGCUAACUACGUGCCAGCAGCCGCGGU